AGCAAAAGGAUGCGUUUUGUUUUUUAGUGACCAUAUUAUGGCACUGAUUGUUUUAUUUGAAAAUAUGUUGCUCAUAAAAGUCCAGCUAUCACUCGGAAAUAAGAUCUGGAGACCACAAUUACUACAAGAAACGCUGCCUAAGAAACGAGAAGUGCCUGGGGUGCCCUGCGAGAGGUGGCUCUGCGCUUCCCUCAGAUUCACUUAUCAUGCAACAUAGGCGUCCGUAGCCAUGAUGUCUCGCUCAAGCACAAGUGGCCCACACAGUCCCCUCUGCUUCGAAGGUGCGCACCUAUGUCUUUCUUUGGGCCUCCUGUGGCACGCCGACAACGCUCCUUUCUGCCACCAGUGGGACUCGGG